AAACUCAAAUGAAUUGACGGAGGGCCCGCACAAGCGGUGGAGCAUGUGGUUUAAUUCGAUGCAACGCGAAGAACCUUACCUACUCUUGACAUCCAGAGAAUUCGCUAGAGAUAGCUUAGUGCCUUCGGGAACUCUGAGACAGGUGCUGCAUGGCUGUCGUUUCAGCUCGUGUUGUGAAAUGUUGGGUUAAGUCCCGCAACGAGCGCAACCCUUAUCCUUUGUUGCCAGCGAUUGCGGUCGGGAACUCAAAGGAGACUGCCGGUGAUAAACCGGAGGAAGGUGGGGAUGACGUCAAGUCAUCAUGGCCCUUACGAGUAGGGCUACACACGUGCUACAAUGGCGUAUACAAAGAGAAGCGAACUCGCGAGAGCAAGCGGACCUCAUAAAGUACGUCGUAGUCCGGAUUGGAAGUCUGCAACUCGACUCCAUGAAGUCGGAAUCGCUAGUAAUCGUAGAU
rnacentral:rRNA from 1 species